AGGGGCGUGACGCUUAUUGCGUGGCACUCUGCAAAGGUGUUGUAGAUAGUUUUUAUCCUCGCUUU
rnacentral:tRNA from 1 species